UACGUAGGGACCGAGCGUUGUCCGGAUUCAUUGGGCGUAAAGAGCUCGUAGGCGGCUGUUCAAGUCGAACGUGAAAACUCGGAGCUCAACUCCGAGCCUGCGUUCGAUACUGGACGGCUAGAGUCUGGUAGGGGAGUCUGGAAUUCCUGGUGUAGCGGUGAAAUGCGCAGAUAUCAGGAGGAACACCGGUGGCGAAGGCGGGACUCUGGGCCGAUACUGACGCUGAGGCACGAAAGCGUGGGGAGCAAACAGG
rnacentral:rRNA from 1 species